GUCCUGCAUCAACUCAUGACUCACCAGAGCUUUUUGGUUCUUGGACACGACUCUGCUGCUGAACUCCUGCUGGUUCCUGUUCUGGUUUCCCAUCUGGACUCACCUUCCAUGUUUGGAUUCCCACCUCUGUUCCUAUUCUGUCUCCAACCUGUGGAUGUUCUGUUCUGUGUUCCACCAUCUCCAGAGUUGCCUGAUUCUGCUACCUUCAGUUUAGUUUCUUCCCAUUAAAACCGUGCAGCGCUGGCGGCCUUCCAUCCACGUGAACCCAAAUAUAGUCUAGACGGGAGCUUCCAGCGCCUUCAAAUCUGCCUUGAUUGGUAAUUAGCCGCGCUGUGCAGGAAGGAAACAUUGAUUCGGC
ensembl:lncRNA